GAUGAACGUUGGCGGCGUGCCUAACACAUGCAAGUCGAACGAACUUGAUUCUUCGGAUGAGAGUUAGUGGCGCACGGGUGAGUAACACGUUGGUGACCUGCCCCGAAGCGGGGGAUAACCAUUGGAAACGGUGGCUAAUACCGCAUGUGCUUAAUCAUUCGGUUGAUUAAGUAAAGCUCAGGCGCUUCGGGAGGGGCCUGCGGUCGAUUAGUUAGUUGGUGAGGUAAUGGCUCACCAAGACGAUGAUCGAUAGGGGGCGUGAGAGCGUGACCCCCCACACUGGGACUGAGACACGGCCCAGACUCCUACGGGAGGCAG
rnacentral:rRNA from 1 species